UACGUAGGGUGCGAGCGUUGUCCGGAAUUAUUGGGCGUAAAGGGCUCGUAGGCGGUUUGUCGCGUCGGGAGUGAAAACACCGGGCUUAACUCGGUGCUUGCUUUCGAUACGGGCAGACUAGAGGUAUGCAGGGGAGAACGGAAUUCCUGGUGUAGCGGUGAAAUGCGCAGAUAUCAGGAGGAACACCGGUGGCGAAGACGGUUCUCUGGGCAUUACCUGACGCUGAGGAGCGAAAGUGUGGGGAGCGAACAGG
rnacentral:rRNA from 1 species